GGGCAGUGGGGGCCUGCUAUACAUGCAGUCGAACGAGUUCUCGUUGAUGAUCGGUGCUUGCACCGAGAUUCAACAUGGAACGAGUGGCGGACGGGUGAGUAACACGUGGGUAACCUGCCCUUAAGUGGGGGAUAACAUUUGGAAACAGAUGCUAAUACCGCAUAGAUCCAAGAACCGCAUGGUUCUUGGCUGAAAGAUGGCGUAAGCUAUCGCUUUUGGAUGGACCCGCGGCGUAUUAGCUAGUUGGUGAGGUAAUGGCUCACCAAGGCGAUGAUACGUAGCCGAACUGAGAGGUUGAUCGGCCACAUUGGGACUGAGACACGGCCCAAACUCCUACGGGAGGCAGCAGUAGGGAAUCUUCCACAAUGGACGCAAGUCUGAUGGAGCAACGCCGCGUGAGUGAAGAAGGCUUUCGGGUCGUAAAACUCUGUUGUUGGAGAAGAAUGGUCGGCAGAGUAACUGUUGUCGGCGUGACGGUAUCCAACCAGAAAGCCACGGCUAACUACGUGCCAGCAGCCGCGGUAAUACGUAGGUGGCAAGCGUUAUCCGGAUUUAUUGGGCGUAAAGCGAGCGCAGGCGGUUUUUUAAGUCUGAUGUGAAAGCCCUCGGCUUAACCGAGGAAGCGCAUCGGAAACUGGGAAACUUGAGUGCAGAAGAGGACAGUGGAACUCCAUGUGUAGCGGUGAAAUGCGUAGAUAUAUGGAAGAACACCAGUGGCGAAGGCGGCUGUCUGGUCUGUAACUGACGCUGAGGCUCGAAAGCAUGGGUAGCGAACAGGAUUAGAUACCCUGGUAGUCCAUGCCGUAAACGAUGAAUGCUAGGUGUUGGGAGGGUUUCCGCCCUUCAGUGCCGCAGCUAACGCAUUAAGCAUUCCGCCUGGGGGAGUACGACCGCAAGGUUGAAACUCAAAGGAAUUGACGGGGGCCCGCACAAGCGGUGGAGCAUGUGGUUUAAUUCGAAGCAACGCGAAGAACCUUACCAGGUCUUGACAUCUUUUGAUCACCUGAGAGAUCAGGUUUCCCCUUCGGGGGCAAAAUGACAGGUGGGUGCAUGGGUUGUCGUCAGCUCCUGUCGUGAGAAGGUUGGGGUUAAGUCCCCCCACCAAGCGCCACCCCUUAUGACUAAUUUGCCACCAUUUAAUUUGGGCCCCCUAUUAAAAACUGCCCGUGGCAAACCCGAGGAAAGAGGGGGGAAUGAACGCCAAAACAUUCUUGGCCCCUUUUUAACCCGGGGGGCACAACACUGCUCCCAAAUGGAGGGGUGCACCCCAAAUUUC
rnacentral:rRNA from 2 species